GGUAUCUCUGGCCAGUUGAGGGCGCCGUCGCUGACAGCGGCGCGGCGACCGUUGAGAGGUGCGGACUUCUCCAGAGCCUG
rnacentral:tRNA from 1 species